AGAGUUUGAUCAUGGCUCAGAUUGAACGCUGGCGGCAGGCCUAACACAUGCAAGUCGAGCGGUAGCACAGAGAGCUUGCUCUCGGGUGACGAGCGGCGGACGGGUGAGUAAUGUCUGGGAAACUGCCUGAUGGAGGGGGAUAACUACUGGAAACGGUAGCUAAUACCGCAUAANNGUCGCAAGACCAAAGUGGGGGACCUUCGGGCCUCAUGCCAUCAGAUGUGCCCAGAUGGGAUUAGCUAGUAGGUGGGGUAACGGCUCACCUAGGCGACGAUCCCUAGCUGGUCUGAGAGGAUGACCAGCCACACUGGAACUGAGACACGGUCCAGACUCCUACGGGAGGCAGCAGUGGGGAAUAUUGCACAAUGGGCGCAAGCCUGAUGCAGCCAUGCCGCGUGUGUGAAGAAGGCCUUCGGGUUGUAAAGCACUUUCAGCGGGGAGGAAGGCGGUGAGGUUAAUAACCUCACCGAUUGACGUUACCCGCAGAAGAAGCACCGGCUAACUCCGUGCCAGCAGCCGCGGUAAUACGGAGGGUGCAAGCGUUAAUCGGAAUUACUGGGCGUAAAGCGCACGCAGGCGGUCUGUCAAGUCGGAUGUGAAAUCCCCGGGCUCAACCUGGGAACUGCAUUCGAAACUGGCAGGCUAGAGUCUUGUAGAGGGGGGUAGAAUUCCAGGUGUAGCGGUGAAAUGCGUAGAGAUCUGGAGGAAUACCGGUGGCGAAGGCGGCCCCCUGGACAAAGACUGACGCUCAGGUGCGAAAGCGUGGGGAGCAAACAGGAUUAGAUACCCUGGUAGUCCACGCUGUAAACGAUGUCGAUUUGGAGGUUGUGCCCUUGAGGCGUGGCUUCCGGAGCUAACGCGUUAAAUCGACCGCCUGGGGAGUACGGCCGCAAGGUUAAAACUCAAAUGAAUUGACGGGGGCCCGCACAAGCGGUGGAGCAUGUGGUUUAAUUCGAUGCAACGCGAAGAACCUUACCUGGUCUUGACAUCCACAGAACUUAGCAGAGAUGCUUUGGUGCCUUCGGGAACUGUGAGACAGGUGCUGCAUGGCUGUCGUCAGCUCGUGUUGUGAAAUGUUGGGUUAAGUCCCGCAACGAGCGCAACCCUUAUCCUUUGUUGCCAGCGGUUAGGCCGGGAACUCAAAGGAGACUGCCAGUGAUAAACUGGAGGAAGGUGGGGAUGACGUCAAGUCAUCAUGGCCCUUACGACCAGGGCUACACACGUGCUACAAUGGCAUAUACAAAGAGAAGCGACCUCGCGAGAGCAAGCGGACCUCAUAAAGUAUGUCGUAGUCCGGAUUGGAGUCUGCAACUCGACUCCAUGAAGUCGGAAUCGCUAGUAAUCGUAGAUCAGAAUGCUACGGUGAAUACGUUCCCGGGCCUUGUACACACCGCCCGUCACACCAUGGGAGUGGGUUGCAAAAGAAGUAGGUAGCUUAACCUUCGGGAGGGCGCUUACCACUUUGUGAUUCAUGACUGGGGUGAAGUCGUAACAAGGUAACCGUAGGGGAACCUGCGGUUGGAUCACCU
rnacentral:rRNA from 1 species